UGGUCGAUUAAAAACGCAGGGAACGAGCAGGAGCUUCACACAAACCCUAACUCUCACUAAAUCAAUCAAUUGAAGGCUCUAAUCUGGUCCAAAUCGAAAUCCGAGCACGUAUUAGUGAUCCCCACUGAAAAAGGAGUCACAAGGUAUGUAAAUUUUAUGAAAAAUCUCUAUUUGACUCUGACAAGUAGGUAGGAGCUUGGAAAUGAACGGGUCAAAUGGAUACAAGUUCAAGUAUGAAGCUCGCAAGGAUGCAAGGUAAGUAUAACUUACACUAGUCAUAUAUUUUAGAAUGUUCUUUUGUCGUAUUGACUACGAAUAAGACAAAUGGUAAUUUAGUCACACGUUGACAAUAAUCGUUAGUUUUAAAAGACGCUUUCCCGCGUAAGACAUAAAGAGCCGAAAGUGGUAAUAAACGGUUUAUAAAUAAAAUGAGCAUACGGUGUUAAAAGGAGCGAGUCAUGUAGAUGAGAUGAUAAUAAAUAUUAUCUCGCAAAGAUAAACGGUCAAUUCGGCCAAACGGGUCAAAAGGUGUAGACAUCACCUUUUGACAAUAUCGACUAAUGAUUCUGGUGUCGAGUUAUAUGUUUACAGGAGUAGAUAUCCAAUGGAUACUCGCAUCGCUCUUAAUUAGCAAUUAUAAAGCAAGGUAUUAAACCGGGUUAGUAAGUUGAUCCGAGCCAGGUAUGUAUAAUAGAUUAACUCAUCUGUAGAACUUGAAGUUCUAUGAAAGUUAGGCAAAAUAAAAAAAAGGGCAUUCGAUUACCUUAAUAGGUAAACCGAAGGAUUUAAAUUAUUUAGACAGAAUGUUUUGAAAACAAGAUUUGGUUAAAAAUGAGAAAUUAGAAUCAAACAACAGGUUUGUUUGAUAAAAUCACGAACGGGUCAA
rnacentral:lncRNA from 1 species